UGAAUGAAAGUGUUAACAGAUUGCCUUGU
rnacentral:sRNA from 1 species